GACGAACGCUGGCGGCGUGCCUAAUACAUGCAAGUUGAGCGCUGAAGGUUGGUACUUGUACCGACUGGAUGAGCAGCGAACGGGUGAGUAACGCGUGGGGAAUCUGCCUUUGAGCGGGGGACAACAUUUGGAAACGAAUGCUAAUACCGCAUAAAAACUUUAAACACAAGUUUUAAGUUUGAAAGAUGCAAUUGCAUCACUCAAAGAUGAUCCCGCGUUGUAUUAGCUAGUUGGUUAGGUAAAGGCUCACCAAGGCGAUGAUACAUAGCCGACCUGAGAGGGUGAUCCGCCACAUUGGGAACGAGACACGGCCCAAACUCCUACGGGAGGCAGCAGUAGGGAAUCUUCGGCAAUGGACGAAAGUCUGACCGAGCAACGCCGCGUGAGUGAAGAAGGUUUUCGGAUCGUAAAACUCUGUUGGUAGAGAAGAACGUUGGUGAGAGUGGAAAGCUCAUCAAGUGACGGUAACUACCCAGAAAGGGACGGCUAACUACGUG
rnacentral:rRNA from 1 species